UGGGGAAUAUUGGGGCAAUGGGGGGCGAAAGCCUGACCCAGCAACGCCGCGUGAAGGAAGAAGGUCUUCGGAUUGUAAACUUCUUUUAUGAGGGACGAAGGACGUGACGGUACCUCAUGAAUAAGCCACGGCUAACUACGUGCCAGCAGCCGCGGUAAUACGUAGGUGGCAAGCGUUAUCCGGAUUUACUGGGUGUAAAGGGCGCGUAGGCGGGAUAUCAAGUUAGUCGUGAAAUACCGGGGCUCAACCCCGGGGCUGCGAUUAAAACUGAUAUUCUUGAGUAUCGGAGAGGAAAGCGGAAUUCCUAGUGUAGCGGUGAAAUGCGUAGAUAUUAGGAGGAACACCAGUGGCGAAGGCGGCUUUCUGGACGACAACUGACGCUGAGGCGCGAAAGUGUGGGGAGCAAACAGGAUUAGAUACCCUGGUAGU
rnacentral:rRNA from 1 species